rnacentral:rRNA from 1 species
GUAGGUGGCAAGCGUUGUCCGGAAUUAUUGGGCGUAAAGCGCGCGCAGGCGGUUCUUUAAGUCUGAUGUGAAAGCCCACGGCUCAACCGUGGAGGGUCAUUGGAAACUGGAGAACUUGAGUACAGAAGAGGAAAGCGGAAUUCCACGUGUAUCGGUGAAAUGCGUAGAGAUGUGGAGGAACACCAGUGGCGAAGGCGGCUUUCUGGUCUGUAACUGACGCUGAGGCGCGAAAGCGUGGGGAGCAAACAGGGAUUAGAUACCCUGGUAGUCCACGCCGUAAACGAUGAGUGCUAAGUGUUAGGGGGUUUCCCGCCCCUUAGUGCUGCAGCUAACGCAUUAAGCACUCCGCCUGGGGAGUACGGCCCGCAAGGCUG